CCCCGUGCCCGGAUGCCCCCCGAGCCCGCUGACACCCCUCAGACCGACCCUCACCCUCUCUUCCUGUACCGAUGGAGCAGGAGGAAGUAGGGGAUAAAUUGCCCGUGCGGAGUGGUGGGAGCUGGACCCCUUUUCCCCUCACAAUCCGGAGGGUGAAAAGGCAGACUCCUCUUUUCCCCUCGCAACCUGGGGUCUGGAAGAGCAGACCCCCAUUUUUUCCCCUCACAAUCUGGGGUCUGGAAGAACAGACUCCCCCUUUCCCCUCACAAUCUGGGGUCUGGAAGAGCAGACCCCCAUUUUUUCCCCUCACAAUCUGGGGUCUGGAAGAACAGACUCCCCCUUUCCCCUCACAGCCCGAGGUGUGGAAGAGCAGACCCCCAUUUUUUCCCCUCACAAUCUGGGGUCUGGAAGAGCAGACCCCCAUUUUUUCCCCUCACAAUCUGGGGUCUGGAAGAGCAGACUCCCCCUUUCCCCUCGCAACCUGGGGUCUGGAAGAGCAGACCCCCAUUUUUUCCCCUCACAAUCUGGGGUCUGGAAGAACAGACUCCCCCUUUCCCCUCACAGCCCGAGGUGUGGAAGAGCAGACCCCCAUUUUUUCCCCUCACAAUCUGGGGUCUGGAAGAGCAGACUCCCCCUUUCCCCUCACAGCCCGAGGUGUGGAAGAGCAGACCCCCAUUUUUUCCCCUCACAAUCUGGGGUCUGGAAGAGCAGUCCCCCUUUCCCUUCACAGCCCGAGGUGUGAAAGAGCAGACCCCCAUUUUUUCCCCUCACAAUCUGGGGUCUGGAAGAGCGGACUCCCCCUUUCCCCUCACAGCCCGAGGUGUGGAAGAGCAGACCCCCAUUUUUUCCCCUCACAACUCGGGGUCUGGAAGAGCAGAUCCAUUUUUUCCCUCAGAACACAGUCUGGAAGAGCAGACUCCCCCUUUCUCCUCACAGCCCGAAGUGUGGAAGAGCAGACUCCCCCUUUCUCCUCACAACACGGGGUCUGGAAGAGCAGACCCCCAUUUUUUCCCCUCACAACUCGGGGUCUGGAAGAGCAGACCCAUUUUUUCCCUCAGAACACAGUCUGGAAGAGCAGACUCCCCCUUUCUCCUCACAACACGGGGUCUGGAAGAGCAGACCCCCAUUUUUUCCCUCACAACACUGAAUCUGGAAGAGCAGGCCCCCAUUUUUUGCCUCACAAGCCAACAGCGCCCCUCUACCCCCAAAACUGAGGGGUGGGGAGCAGGGGGACGCAGCGG
rnacentral:lncRNA from 1 species